UCAUGCGAUAUACUCAUUGUCAUACAACAAGUACCAGUUUGUACCUUUCUAACCCUCCGCUGGUAAAAUUCUAAUUGACUCUUUUUUACGAAUUUUAAAACCAAGGCAGAAACUUGCCCCGUUAUUAAGAAUACGAGAUGCCAUGCAGAUACGCGACUGGACUUAUUCAUGAAAAUAAGAUUCAUAAUAUUGGUUUGAUAUCUAUUUAGCUUCAUCAAAAUGACAAAGUUUAUCCUUCGUUUACAUGGUAAUCUUUUACAACACAACAUAUAUUUAACCUAUUUGGUUUUAAUGUCUUACUAUAACCUAUGCACAUGUACUUUGUCAUCUCUGUAUGAAAAAGACCAUAUGUUGGAGUACUCAGAGCCGAAACAUUCUAUUGCCACUGGUGUUAAAUAUAUGUAUAAUUUAUAGUAUUAGGCUGAAAAAAGCAUAAAUUUUAAUUGCACACAUUUACACUGUACACACUUCACAGAAAGGACAGAAAAGAGAAGAAGAAUGGUAGAAGUAUGAAAAAUGCUAGUGGGUGUUCACCUUUGAAUUAUGAAUGCUUUUGUUAUAUGUAAGCUUCAAUGAUUAUUUUGCAUUUUGGCUAUAUCAUAUAUAUAAAUUGUGCUAAAAUCAUGCUACUGUUUGAUGUUGUUUUAGUUUUCUAGUGAUUUGUAAACAAUAUUGUUAUAUUUUAUGUAUAACAUAUACCCAUCAUCCUGAGCCUCAAGGGCUGCAAUUCAUUCAUCAUAAGUUAUACAUAUAAGUAAAAAUUUUCCAACUUUUUAUUUUUAUGUCAAAAGAAACAAAGAAUCAAUACAUGCCUUAAAAGUUGAUGUUCUUCAUUUUCCGUCCAGUUUCUUGUUUGUUGGCGUUAAAAUGGGACAACCGUUUGCGAUAUCUUGUCGCGCAAGCUCAACGGAGUGGUCACAACUUCGUGCUGAAAACGGAAAAAUAUGAGCUAUUUCUUGCUUCCAAACCUUCCAAAGCAUUCAAGAAAGGACGAAACAAAGCAACAUUGUAAAAACGUUUGCUAGAAAUAUAGAAAACGGGGAAAUAAUACGACAAACUUUCAUCUUUCGCCAAGGUAUGGCGAAACAAACAACAAGCCAAAGUCCCUUGGAUGCUUUUCACAUUGAAAAUACAAUGAGACAAAACAAAAAAGUUUUCUAGACCACAA